CCAGCUCCAAUAGCGUAUAUUAAAGUUGUUGCAGUUAAAAAGCUCGUAGUUGAAUAUCUGGCCGGUGCUGCAUUUGGCUCUCGAGCUGGUGUAGUGCUUGGUCAUCCGUAUGGGAAGCUAGCUCGGCCUUCACUGGUCGGCUAGUGGAUCAUACACUUUACUUUGAAAAAAUUAGAGUGUUUCAGGCAGGCAAUUGCUUGGAUACUGUAGCAUGGAAUAAUGGAAUAGGACUUUGACCUAUUUGUUGGUUUCUUGAGGUCAAAGUAAUGAUUAAUAGGGAUGGUUGGGGGCAUUCGUAUUUAAUUGUCAGAGGUGAAAUUCUUGGAUUUUUUAAAGACGAACUUAUGCGAAAGCAUUUGCCAAGGAUGUUUUCA
rnacentral:rRNA from 1 species